UUCGGAUCUUCCCAUUUUAUUACUCCAUCUCUUCAAGUCUAUUUCCCAUUAUACCAACUACUACAUCCCCAACCAAUUGAGAUUUCUCGCCGGUGAACUACCACGCCGAAUUUGCAUUGACUUCUCUUCGUCUCCGGCACUGUUUUUACGAGAAUCCAUGGGUACUUCCGACGUUAAUGCUAACUCCUCCUCCUCUUCCCUCGUCAAAGAUUUCCUCCACAAAUGCGGUGGCGUUGCCGUGAUUGACGGCGGAUUUGCGACGGAGCUGGAGCGUCAUGGAGCCGACCUUAAUGACCCUCUUUGGAGCGCUAAAUGUCUCCUCACUGACCCUCACCUUGUCCGCGCUGUACACUUGGAUUACCUUGAAGCUGGUGCAGAUAUAAUACUCAGUUCAUCUUAUCAGGCAACCAUCCAGGGGUUUAAGGCCAAAGGAUAUUCUAUAGAAGAAAGUGAAUCCUUACUCAAAAGAAGUGUUGAGAUUGCUUGUGAAGCACGUGAUGUCUACUAUAAAAGAUGCCGUGAAUCUUCCUCUGAUCAAAGCACUGAUGGGAAGGUUCUCAAACAACGCCCUAUCUUAGUUGCAGCAUCUGUUGGGAGUUAUGGGGCCUAUUUAGCUGACGGUUCAGAAUACAGUGGGGAAUAUGGGGAUGCGGUUGAUCUCAAGUUUCUAAAGGAUUUUCAUCGUAGAAGGGUUCAUCUUCUUGCAAACUCUGGUGCUGAUCUAAUAGCUUUUGAGACCGUGCCAAAUAAACUGGAAGCUCAGGCUUUUGUCGAGCUUCUUAAGGAAGAAGACAUAAAGACUCCUGCCUGGUUAUCCUUCAACUCCAAAGACGGUGUAAAUGUGGUCAGUGGUGAUUCCUUGUCAGAAUGUGCUGCAAUUGGCGAAUCAUGUGAAAAAGUUUUGGCUGUUGGAAUCAACUGUACUCCUCCUAGAUUUAUUCUGGAUCUUAUUUUAUCCAUCAAGCAGGUAACAACAAAACCAAUCCUUAUAUAUCCCAACAGUGGAGAGAGUUACGAUGGCAUUCGCAAGGAGUGGGUGAGUAAUACCGGGGUGACAGAUGAAGAUUUUGUUCCUUAUGUUAAUAAAUGGUGCGAGGCAGGAGCAUCCCUGGUAGGAGGUUGCUGCAGAACUACUCCAAAUACCAUUAGAGCAAUAUACAAAUCACUCUCUGGAAAACGCACUGUCUAAUCUGGAGAACAAAAUAGGGGCAUCUAACUUGAAAAUUGAGACAAGAUUUUGUGCCUGGGUCGAAAGGAUUGUUUCAGUCUCUUGUAAACCUGGAUGGCCUACAUUUCAGAGAGGUGUCUGCUUGACUGGAGUUCAGGGCAAGAGAAGAUCCACCUGAUCAACCUAGGCUGUUUGUUGGUGGUGUAUCAUAUUUUUGGUACGUGAAGAUGUUCGAAGAAUCUAUGAAAUUUUGGUUUUUGAGAACUUUUUAGUAUUACGCCACAUUGUAGUUUGUGGUUGCUAAAUGGAUGUACAAUUCACUCUAUUUUAACACCAAACGUG
rnacentral:misc_RNA from 1 species